rnacentral:rRNA from 1 species
AUUGAACGCUGGCGGCAGGCCUAACACAUGCAAGUCGAGCGGAUGAAGGGAGCUUGCUCCUGGAUUCAGCGGCGGACGGGUGAGUAAUGCCUAGGAAUCUGCCUUGUAGUGGGGGAUAACGUCCGGAAACGGGCGCUAAUACCGCAUACGUCCUGAGGGAGAAAGGGGGGGAUCUUCGGACCUCACGCUAUCAGAUGAGCCUAGGUCGGAUUAGCUAGUUGCUGGGGUAAAGCCCUACGAAGGCGACGAUCCGUAACUGGUCUGAGAGGAUGAUCAGUCACAUGGGAACUGGGAAACGGUCCAGAUCCUUACGGGAGGCAGCAGUGGGGAAUAUUGGAAAUGGGGCGAAAGCCUGAUGCAGCCAGGCGGCGGGUGUGAAGAAGGUCUUCGGAUUGUAAAGCACUUUAAGUUGGGAGGAAGGGCAGUAAGUUAACACCUCGCUGUUUUGACGUUACCAACAGAAUAAGCACCGGCUACCUUCGU